rnacentral:rRNA from 1 species
UACGAGGGGGGCAAAUGUUGUUCGGAAUCACUGGGCGUAAAGGGAGCGUAGGCGGGUUUUUAAGUCAGGUGUUUAAUCCCGGGGCCCAACCCCGGACAGGCACUUGAAACUGGGAAUCUUGAAUAGUGGAGAGGUCGGUGGAAUUGGGGGUGUAGCGGUGGAAUGCGUAGAGAUGCGGAGGAACACCGAUGGCGAAGGCAGCCCCCUGGGCUAGCACUGACGCUCAGGCACGAAAGCGUGGGGAGCAAACAGG